AGAUACUUGUGUAACUCCGUGCGCCUUCAGUUCUUUAAGAUUUUUUUUGUUCCAUGUUGUUUGCCACGAAAAGUUGUGAAACAAAAUUUGUUUCCGGAAAAUGGAAAAUCGUUUUUCCGGCCGGAAAAGCCAUUCAUAUGAAAACCUUCAAAGUCGAAUAUAUCAUAAAAUACAAUGUUUUUUUUGAAAAAUUUCUUCUGUUCUGGAAAUCAUGGCUCAUUACCGAUAUUUCAUGGAAUAACUUUUUUUUUGAGGAGU